GACGAACGCUGGCGGCGCGCUUAACACAUGCAAGUCGAACGGAAAGGCCUGCUUUCCCUUGUGGAUUGCGGGUACUCGAGUGGCGAACGGGUGAGUAACACGUGAGUGAUCUGCCCCCAACUUGGGUAUAAGCCUGGGAAACUGGGUCUAAUUCCCGAUAGGACUGCAGGGUGGUGCCUGUGGUGGAAAACGAUUUUCUAGUGGUUGGGGAUGAGCUCGCGGCCUAUCAGCUUGUUGGUGGGGUAAUGGCCUACCAAGGCGGCGACGGGUAGCCGGCCUGAGAGGGUGGACGGCCACAUUGGGACUGAGAUACGGCCAAGACUCCUACGGGAGGCAGCAGUGGGGAAUAGUGCACAAUGGGCGGAAGCCUGAUGCAGCGACGCCGCGUGGGGGAUGACGGCCUUCGGGUUGUAAACUCCUUUCGACCGCGAGGAAGCCACCUGGUUGGAAGGGUGGUGACGGUAGUGGUAGAAGAAGCACCGGCUAACUACGUG
rnacentral:rRNA from 1 species